rnacentral:rRNA from 1 species
AUUGAACGCUGGCGGCAGGCUUAACACAUGCAAGUCGAACGAGCGGCGGACGGGUGAGUAAUGUCUGGGAAACUGCCUGAUGGAGGGGGAUAACUACUGGAAACGGUAGCUAAUACCGCAUACCAUCAGAUGUGCCCAGAUGGGAUUAGCUAGUAGGUGGGGUAAUGGCUCACCUAGGCGACGAUCCCUAGCUGGUCUGAGAGGAUGACCAGGCACACUGGAACUGAGAAACGGUCCAGACUCCUUAGGGGGGCAGCAGGGGGGAAUAUUGCAAAAUGGGCGGAAGGCUGAUGCAGGCCUGCCGGGUGGGUGAAGAAGGCCUUCGGGGUGGAAAGCACUUUCAGCGAGGAGGAGGUUAUCGCAGAAGAAGCACCGGCUAAAUCCGUGGCAGCCGCCGCGGUUAUAU